AUGAAAUGGGACCCGGCCAGUACCUCCUUGCUCCUUGAACUCUGUAUUGAUGAGAAGGAGACCCAAUUGAACUGGAACAAUACGGGGUUAACAACAUACAGGUCGCAAAAUGUGGAACGCAAAUUCAAAGAACUUGGAGGCCGUCCAUUUACUCGGAGGCAGAUGAGCAACAAACUGCAAACUCUGAAAAAAAGUUUCACAAGGUGGAAGGCUCUACAGAAGCACACUGGCCUAGGCCGUAACAAGACUACGGGUGGUGUUGAGGCUGAGGAAGAGUUGUUGGAGGCUGAGUACGGCACCGAGAAUGCCCCCGAUACGGAGGAUACCCCAGAGGAGAAUCACGCGCCUGGUGCACCACCUCCGUACCUAGAACAGCUGUUUAGGCUGUACGGUUCCCCCAAAGAUAGGGGAUCAUUCAUGUCUGCUGGAGGUGUUUGUGCGUCAGUCACUCCCCCAAUAGAGGCACCCACUGGCCCCUCCAACAAAAGAGUGACCAUGGACACAGAGGUUGACAGCCCACCAAAGAAAAAGAAUUGUAGCACAGAGGAGUACAUGAGGCAGCUAACUGAAAGCAUUGUGCGGCGGUCUUCUCGUGAGCAUACCCGUGAGCAGAAGGAGGUUUUCGAAGUCAUGGAAAUACUGAGAAAUGAUGGUGUUCCGGAGGGGUCGGAGCUGUACUUCAAAGCAUUGGAUCUGUUCAAGAACUCGGUUUGCCGUGCAGAGUACAAGAACAUACACGACCCAGUGAACCGCAUAGCUUGGAUCGAAUGGACGUGGACUCACGGGAAGCUAAAGUAGCAUGGGUCAUCUAUCGCAAAGCAGUUAGCUGGACUAGUGUAGUCGUAUUAGUGUCUUUCAUGGUGCUUACGAACAAUGAUUGUAAUAAUGUUGUUAGGUUAUCGCACUGGCCUUGCUUAGCUUCCUUCACCUUGGUUUCAGUUACUGAACUUGGUUUGUUCACUUUGUUGAACUUGGUUUUAGUUAUCGCUGCAUAAGUUUGUUUACUUCGGAGAAGCUGGAUUAAGUUAUUGUUGCAUUAGUUUCUUUCACGUGUACUUUUUGAAAUUUUGUCCAUCACUUAUAUAUAAAUGUUGUGCUUUAGUUAUUUCCUCAUUCAAACCUGAUGUGUCAAGCUUCUGCAGGACUUGUAGGAGAAAAAAAAACAGCCGGGGCAUACCUAAUGGCAGGUGAACGGGCAAGUGAUGCUUCAAGUGAUUCAAGCAAUACUUUCUGGGAUUUGGCAACGUGUGCAGUUGCUGUCGCAGCAUAUGCGGCCGAAAAUCCAAAUGGAACAGCCAUGGACAGCCAAAUGGCAGUGACGCCCGUGCAAUUCGAAGUGCAAGAGGCUACUGGGCGACAAUGGGUGGAAGCUAGUUUGAUGGUCCCAUGGAGAUGCUAUGAGAAUUUCCGUUCGUUUGUUUGUAGGUAUGAGCAACGAGACAUUUCAUAAGCUGCAUAACAUUUUAGUUACAAACCAUGGGCUGCAGUCUACUCAAGAGUUCCAUUCCAUAGAGGCUUUAGGCAUGUUCCUAUGGGCAUGCGGGCACGGGCAUUGCAUGAGGUAGGUCAAAGACAGACUUGGUAGGGUUUGGGAACAAUAAGCCAAAAGUUUGGGGACGUGCUACACGCGAUGAUGUCAUUUGCAGAUAUAGUGAUUAGGCCACAGGAUCCGACUUAUAGCACCGUGCAUGCAAGUUUGAGGCCGUACUCACCUUUCUUCGACGGAUGCAUAGGCGCUAUAGAUGGAACACACAUACCUGUGUGUGUCUCUCGUAAGUCACAUGAUGAUUACACCAAUAGGAAAGGCUGGCCAAGCCAGAAUGUAUUAGCUGUAGUUGACUUCGACAUGAGGUUCACCUUUAUUGGUGUGGGGAUGGCGGGAGCUGUGCACGACAUGGCGGUGCUAAGGCAGGGGUGGGAGGCAGAAACUUUCUCUCACCCACCACCAGGAAAAUAUUAUUUGGUGGACAAAGGGUAUGCCCAAGAAUGUGGGUACUUGGGACCGCAUCGCCAGACCAAGUGCUGGAAGGAGUUCAAGAAAAGGGGUCCUCAGCAUUUGGAAGAGGUGUUCAACUACCAUCAUUCGAAACUUCGAAAUGUAGCUGAAAGGUCAUUUGGGGUAGCCAAAAAUAAGUGGCAAAUGUUGAAAGGAAUGCCUAAAUAUCCUAAGGACAAGCAAAAUCAGAUUAUUGUGGCAUGUUUUGCGCUGCAUAACUUUGUACGGGAUGAGAAUGCACGGUCACUGACAAUCGACAUGCCGCCGAUACCUGCACCAAGUGAGUAUUCGUUUCGGUGGCUGGAGUCAACGACGGAAGAUGAGAUGUCAACUGUCCGCAACUGGAUUACUACCGGACUUGCAGUUAUGGGGUUCAGAUGAACUUUGAGGAAGGCCGCAAUGAAGCAUUAGCACAAGGCGUAGCUUAUUUUGUUACGGAGGGGUUCAUGAAGUUGGAAUUGCCUCUCUGAUCCUUAUUUAUGCUUGGAAUUGGCUUAUAUUGUAGAAAGUACUUUCUGCUGGCAAUUUAUGGUUGAUGAUGCUAAAUAUUUAUAUGCAAAUGUUGACUGCUCAAUCAUUUUGGUGCAACUGUUGCAGUCAUAAGUAGGCACCCAAAUUCGAGUUGUAAAAUUGAAGCAGCCUUGUAAGACACUUCAGCAUGUAAGGAAUUUGGGACCUGUGGUUAUACUUCAGCAUGUAAGGAAUUUGGGACCUGUGGUUAUUUUGUUAUGCAGUGUAUGUCUUGAUGCGGCG